rnacentral:rRNA from 1 species
ACGAACGCUGGCGGCAGGCUUAACACAUGCAAGUCGAACGCCCCGCAAGGGGAGUGGCAGACGGGUGAGUAACGCGUGGGAAUCUACCCAAUUCUACGGAACAACAGUUGGAAACGACUGCUAAUACCGUAUACGCCCUACGGGGGAAAGAUUUAUCGGAAUUGGAUGAGCCCGCGUUGGAUUAGCUAGUUGGUGGGGUAAAGGCCUACCAAGGCGACGAUCCAUAGCUGGUCUGAGAGGAUGAUCAGCCACAUUGGGACUGAGACACGGCCCAAACUCCUACGGGAGGCAGCAGUGGGGAAUAUUGGACAAUGGGCGCAAGCCUGAUCCAGCCAUGCCGCGUGAGUGAUGAAGGUCUUGGGAUUGUAAAGCUCUUUCACCGGAGAAGAUAAUGACGGUAUCCGGAGAAGAAGCCCCGGCUAACUUCGU